CUCGGCCGCCGGCGGUAAUCAGAAGCAGGUCCGGGCCACUGCCCAGCCGCCUUGGCUACCAUCUCCGCGUGAUGCCACCGGGGGGCGGGAGGAGCCGGCGCGGCGGGGGUGGCUGCACAGAACAGCUCCCCAAAGUCUGGAGGCUCUGGGGGCAGGUGACUGAGGCUUUGGCUGAUUUCUCCCUGUUACUGCAUGCUGAAUGACUGAGGAUGCACCAUGAGGUCAGCACUGAGCUUCUCUUUCACACAAGAAACAUGCAGGAGAAAUGGAGGCUCAUGGAUUCCCUGUCCAAGGUCCUUCAGGGUUUAGGAGGACAAUGAAAGGCUCCAGGACCAGCAUAGACUGCCAGUCUGUUCUUCUGUCAAUGUCUCACAAGUUGUCUGCAGAAGGGCUGUGUUCUACCCGGUGCUCCUGUGGUAUG